UUUGCCUUCAGCCUCUGAAGAGACUUUGGCCAUUUGAACGAUGUUAGAACUGUUGCAACUUCGGGAAGUUCUUAGAAAUGAAACAGCCUCUGUUCAGUGUAAACACACCAGUGAUCAAACGGACCCCGUUAAGAUGCAAACACAGAGGAAGCCCAGUUCCGCAGCCGAGAGUCUAAAGAGGCAGUCGGAAGAUUUAACAGUCUAGAAUAGCAUUUUUUAUUGGAACACAGCUUCUGAUCUAACAGUCUGCCAUGAAAUCAAUUCAGCCUGAGGAACUUUGGACCUGUGACUUUUCUAGAUGGAAAUUUACACAAAGCCAUGUCCCUGAAGAGCCACGUGAUUCAGCAACACUGAGUUCAUUGAAUGACCUAUUUUACCCAGAUAAUCAGAACUGAAGAGAAACAAUUAUGGAGCAUUACAAAGAAGAACAUAACGCAAAAGGCCUGGAAGCUAAAAGUCUAAGAUGGAGCUGCCCUCAGGAUUGGAUUCUGCUGAGGCCUCUCCCUGGCAACUGACAGCUGCAUCGCAGGGUUUCUUCACAUGUCCUUCCUCCUAGGUUAGGCAUCCCUCUAGUGGGGAGGUCAGAGGACAAUCAUCAAGAGUCAGUUCUCUUCUACUCUGAGGGUCCUGGGGGUGAAUUGAACUCAGGUUGUUAGGCUUGGCUGCAAUCAACUUAAUCCACUAAGCCAUAUCAUCAGCCCCCUCUUGCCCUUCUUAUAAAGAUAUUAUUCCCAUAGGGUUAACUAAUUAUUGGACACUAUCUCCAAACAUACUUACAUUGAGAAUUGCGGCUUUAUGACUGGAUCCUCAGGGAGAUACAGCUUAGUCAGUAACACUUGAGAGUCAAUAAGUGUCUAUAGAAGGUAAUGUCAGAUAGAAUUUUGUUUUUAUGCUUUUUUUCAAGGACUACUGCAAUGAUGGGCACAAAGUAAGACUUCAGUAAAUACUCAUUGAUCAAAAUAAUGAAUGACAGACUACUGUAGAUUCUCAGAGCUGGAGGAAUCCAUGAGAACAGGCAAGGUGAACAGAUGCUAUUUUUCAUUCAAAGUAUAUGGUUUUCAUAAAGUUCUUCUCCAGUUUUAUUAGACAUAAAUACCACUGGGAUUCCAAAUCAUCUGAUAUGUGCACAUCUUUCUUGAAUCAAGGAUUUAUUGGGAGUUAGGGAGCUGGCUCUAUCAGUUUUAUUGUAAGCAUGAGGGCCCAUUUUUUUUUCUUCCCAGAAUCCAUGUAAUCCCAUCACGGAGAAGGCAGAGACAGGCAUAUUCCUCGAGAUUUCUGGUCAGCCAAUCUAGCCUACCUAGCAAAUACCAGGACAGUGCAGAAGCCAUUCAGAGAUAUCACUGGCAUGAUUAUGAGGUUAAAUGUUCCUUUUGAGAGGACUCUGAGUUCGAAAUCAAGCCCAGGGGAGCACUAUUUUGGAAUGAAGAAAAUGUUAUGAAG